rnacentral:lncRNA from 1 species
GAAGGAGAAUUGCAGAAAGCAUUUCUGCACCAAACCCAGAUGAUGAAAAUACCCCAAAUGAACCAAAAACUGAAAGGAAACAAUGAAGGGAAUAAAAAACCUGGGGUUGUGAAUAAUGGGUUGUUUUCAGAUUUUGGAAGAAACAAUGGGGUUGUUGAAUCUGGAACAGGUUUGGAAAGAGGUUUCUUCCACUUUGAAUCAGGACUUUCCACCAAACACCACUGUCUUUCUUCUUCUUCUCUAUCUUCUUCUCCUCAAAGCAACUCUCUGUAUUCCCCUGCUCCACCACACGUCACCGCCACCAUUAACCUCAACCCCACCGCCACCAUACCCACC